rnacentral:rRNA from 1 species
UACAGAGGGUGCAAGCGUUAAUCGGAAUUAUUGGGCGUAAAGGGCUUGUAGGUGGUUAUAUAAGUUAGAUGUGAAAACCCUGGGCUUAACCUGGGACGUGCAUAUAAUACUGUAUAGCUAGAGUAGAGCAGAGGAGUGGGGAAUUCCUGGUGUAGCAGUGAAAUGUGUUGAUAUCGGAAGGAACGCCGGUGGCGAAAGCGACACACUGGAUCUUGUCUGACGCUGAGGCACGAAAGCCAGGGGAGCGAACGGG